UACACUCCUACGGGAGGCAGCAGUGGGGAAUUUUGGACAAUGGGCGAAAGCCUGAUCCAGCAAUGCCGCGUGAGUGAAGAAGGCCUUCGGGUUGUAAAGCUCUUUUGUCAGGGAAGAAACGGUGAGAGCUAAUAUCUCUUGCUAAUGACGGUACCUGAAGAAUAAGCACCGGCUAACUACGUGCCAGCAGCCGCGGUAAUACGUAGGGUGCAAGCGUUAAUCGGAAUUACUGGGCGUAAAGCGUGCGCAGGCGGUUUUGUAAGUCUGAUGUGAAAUCCCCGGGCUCAACCUGGGAAUUGCAUUGGAGACUGCAAGGCUAGAAUCUGGCAGAGGGGGGUAGAAUUCCACGUGUAGCAGUGAAAUGCGUAGAUAUGUGGAGGAACACCGAUGGCGAAGGCAGCCCCCUGGGUCAAGAUUGACGCUCAUGCACGAAAGCGUGGGGAGCAAACAGGAUUAGAAACCCGGGUAGUCC
rnacentral:rRNA from 1 species